CAGCAGUGAGGAAUAUUGGUCAAUGGGCGAGAGCCUGAACCAGCCAAGUCGCGUGAGGGAAGACGGUCCUAUGGAUUGUAAACCUCUUUUGUCGGGGAGCAACGGCCGGUACGUGUACCGGAAUGAGAGUACCCGAAGAAAAAGCAUCGGCUAACUCCGUGCCAGCAGCCGCGGUAAUACGGAGGAUGCGAGCGUUAUCCGGAUUUAUUGGGUUUAAAGGGUGCGUAGGCGGAAUGUCAAGUCAGCGGUAAAAUGUCAGGGCUCAACCCUGUCCGGCCGUUGAAACUGGCGUUCUGGAGUGGGCGAGAAGUAUGCGGAAUGCGUGGUGUAGCGGUGAAAUGCAUAGAUAUCACGCAGAACUCCGAUUGCGAAGGCAGCAUACCGGCGCCCGACUGACGCUGAGGCACGAAAGCGUGGGUAUCGAACAGGAUUAGA
rnacentral:rRNA from 1 species